CCAGGCUUCCCUGACCUUCACCAUCUCCCAGAGUUUGCUCAGACUCGUGUCCAUUAAGUCAGCGAUGCCAUCCAACCAUCUCAUCCUUUUGUCCCCUUCUCCUCCUGCCUUCAAUCUGUCCCAGCAUCAGGGUCUUUUCCACUGAGUCGGCUCUUUGCAAUAGGUGGCCGAAGUAUUGGAACUUAUGCCAUGUAGUAUACACCCCCCCAAAACGAGACAUUUCUCCACAGAAAACAACCACGCCGUGCUGUGAACACACACUUCAUGAAAAGGAGCAUUUUGUCCUAAGAGAACUUCAUAUCUCCUUGGAAGACCAAAGCUGCAGGAACUUUGAAAAUGUUAGUCUUCUAACUGCCAGGUUCCCUGGAAGCUGUGAAGAUCGUGGAGAGAGGCCUUGGGAACCACUUAUCCUGUUCCAUGCAAAGGUGACCCAGAGACACUGAGUGACUCACACAUAGUCACACAGCAAGCCUGUGGUAGAGUGAGGACCAAACCCUGAGCUGUGGGCUCCUGGUUCAGUGCUCCCUGCCUCCCACCUUGUUGCCCAUGACCCAGGCCCGUUCUUGGACGUCUCACCUGUGCAUUCACCCAGGGGCCUGAGCUUGGUUUAAUAAUCUGCUAUUGCUGUCUUGAAAUUUUUAAUAAUUUUUAGAAAAGGGACCCCACAUUUUCAUUUUCCUCUGGGACCCACAAAUUAUAUGUGCUGCCUUGCUGGGACCUUGGUGGGUGUGAUUCAAGGAUUAGUCAUGUUUCCUUGGAGAACUGUGGUCCAGCUCUACAACUUCCUAUGUUCUACCUUGAGGAUCGAAGACAGAAGCUGAUAGCAAAGGAGCAUCACCCAGGACUCUGUCUCUCCUUGGCCUAGACUUCUGUUUGGUGCUUCACGCAUGGCAGCUGCUUACCAGGUGGUGUGUUCCAUGCCAGCUCUUCCUGGGGCUCCUCCCUGUGCUGGAUGGUGGCCUGGAGCAAAUGCCAACAAUGCCACCAGAGUCGACCAGUGUCAGAGUAGCUGGUUGAAAAGUAAAAAGUCCUCUCC
ensembl:lncRNA